rnacentral:rRNA from 2 species
AAUGGGUCAGCGACUUAUAUUCUGUAGCAAGGUUAACCGAAUAGGGGAGCCGGAGGGAAACCGAGUCUUAAUUGGGCGUUAAGUUGCAGGGUAUAGACCCGAAACCCGGUGAUCUAGCCAUGGGCAGGUUGAAGGUUGGGUAACACUAACUGGAGGACCGAACCGACUAAUGUUGAAAAAUUAGCGGAUGACCUGUGGCUGGGGGUGAAAGGCCAAUCAAACCGGGAGAUAGCUGGUUCUCCCCGAAAGCUAUUUAGGUAGCGCCUCGUGAAUUCAUCUCCGGGGGUAGAGCACUGUUUCGGCUAGGGGGCCAUCCCGGCUUACCAACCCGAUGCAAACUGCGAAUACCGGAGAAUGUUAUCACGGGAGACACACGGCGGGUGCUAACGUCCGUCGUGAAGAGGGAAACAACCCAGACCGCCAGCUAAGGUCCCAAAGUCAUGGUUAAGUGGGAAACGAUGUGGGAAGGCCCAGACAGCCAGGAUGUUGGCUUAGAAGCAGCCAUCAUUUAAAGAAAGCGUAAUAGCUCACUGGUCGAGUCGGCCUGCGCGGAAGAUGUAACGGGGCUAAACCAUGCACCGAAGCUGCGGCAGCGACGCUGAUGCGUUGUUGGGUAGGGGAGCGUUCUGUAAGCCUGCGAAGGUGGCCUGUGAGGGUUGCUGGAGGUAUCAGAAGUGCGAAUGCUGACAUAAGUAACGAUAAAGCGGGUGAAAAGCCCGCUCGCCGGAAGACCAAGGGUUCCUGUCCAACGUUAAUCGGGGCAGGGUGAGUCGACCCCUAAGGCGAGGCCGAAAGGCGUAGUCGAUGGGAAACGGGUUAAUAUUCCCGUACUUGGUGUUACUGCGAAGGGGGGACGGAGAAGGCUAUGUUGGCCGGGCGACGGUU